UACAGAGGGUGCGAGCGUUGUCCGGAAUCACUGGGCGUAAAGGGCGCGUAGGUGGCGACCCAAGUCCGUGGUGAAAGCUCGUCGCUUAACGAGGAGUCGGCCACGGAGACUGGGUGGCUCGAGCACUGUAGGGGCAGAUGGAAUUCCGGGUGUAGCGGUGGAAUGCGUAGAGAUCCGGAAGAACACCAGUGGCGAAGGCGGUCUGCUGGGCAGUUGCUGACACUGAGGCGCGACAGCGUGGGGAGCAAACAGG
rnacentral:rRNA from 1 species